GUCAGGACUUAAUAUACGUUGUGAACUACUGAGAAUGCUGUGAUUUUUUAAAAAAACUUCUAAAGCUCUAUACACAUUUGUCACUAUUGUGUAUGUGUGUGUGUGUGUUCAUGAACUGAGAAAAGAAAACAAAAAGUCCUCUUUUAUUCUAACUUUCAUUGCCUUGUUUGUAGGAAAAGAAAUACUGUUUCUACUCUCACUUGUAAGUGAAGAUACUAUUUCCAUGAAGGAACAAUUACGUGCGUGGAUAAACUAACACACAAGGCUUCUACGACAGUGUCAUAUAAACUGGAAAAUCAUUAUAACUAGAAAAAUUUCUUCAACAGAAGUGUCUUUGGACUUCUCCUGUGACAUGAGGACAGACUCAAAAGACACAAAAUCACAAAGUCAGAUACUGAAAAACUUCAGUGAAAAUGAACAUCUUUGAUAUCUCAUAAACACAUGAUACGAAUGAAUGAAGCAAGGCAAUUACUGAAGUGCUUCCUGAAUAUGUUGAUGCCUUUUGAGGAUACUUGACCAAUGAGAUGGUUGAAAGUGUUUGCUACAGUUACUGCUUGUGAAAGACAACUAGAAAUAGAAUUUGCCAUGAAAUUUAAAACUUCACAAACCUCACGGUGCUUCUUUUGAAGAAAAAUGUAGAGUUGGUAGUCGGUAUGAAAUUCUGAUGUGAACUCUUCCUUAGAACUUUACAGGAUAAGAGGAAAUGUGUGAAAUGGAGAUUGAACAAUCUUGUCUUGAAGCAGAAGACUCAAAUGGAAGCUCCUGGCAUUCCUCAA
ensembl:lncRNA